UACGGAGGGUGCAAGCGUUAUCCGGAUUCACUGGGUUUAAAGGGUGCGUAGGCGGGCAGGUAAGUCCGUGGUGAAAUCUCUGAGCUUAACUCAGAAACUGCCAUGGAUACUAUUUGUCUUGAAUAUUGUGGAGGUAAGCGGAAUAUGUCAUGUAGCGGUGAAAUGCUUAGAUAUGACAUAGAACACCAAUUGCGAAGGCAGCUUACUACAUAGCUAGUGACACUGAGGCACGAAAGCGUGGGGAUCAAACAGG
rnacentral:rRNA from 1 species